GUUCCAUCCCCUGCCAUGGGCAGGAACACCUCCCACUGGAUCAGGGGCUCCAAGCCCCAUCCAACCUGGCCUGGAACACCUCCAGGGAUGGGGCAACCACUCCUUCUCUCUGUUCGGUGGCUCCCCACCCUCCCUUUGUGUUACGAGAAUGUCACCCUGGGAGAGAGCAGGGAGUGCGUGAAAGAGGAUAUGACACCCGUCUACUUAAGGCCAGCCAAAGGCUGCAGAAAAUGUAAGUUCUCCAAGACUUCAAGCAGAGCUCGAGAAAGAAUUUGGGGAAGCUGCAGGUUACUGGAAGCAGCGUCUAAUUCUCAGCAGCUGCUAAACGAUGCAGCUCCACCCUGCCUUUUCGUUCUUGUUGGAGGCUGCAAAGGGUUAAAACCAGCAGGCAGCACCUAGGAUGGAUUUAGCAAAACCUCCAAGACAGCACAGGAAUCUUGUCUUUAUACAGGAGCACAUGCCUUGCAACGAACCACUCUUCCUGGAACUCGCCAGGCCUCUCUAAUUAAAAAAAAAAGAGACCUUUGCCUCAACUGUUUCUCAUUUCACCCUUAUCUCAUUUCCUUAAAGCCUCGCACGUUUCCUGUGUGCCCUCAUAACAGGCUCACCCCUUCUCCCAACUUUUCCUCAAAGGAAAAUGCCUGGGUGCAGGGAAGAUGGUGGGACUGGUGCGGAGAGGGAGGCAGAACUGCAAUCUGCAGGGGAGGAGAGGACUGCAGGAGCAGCCACGAUCCUUAUGAACGAGCCCAGCUCUGGGGUUCUGAAGUCACCUCUGUGAAGAUCCUGUUCCAGGAAACCCAUGGAGCAUCCCCUGGGAUGAGCAUUUCACAGUUCUGGCCCUGGGCCCAUGCAUGGAAGCGAUUCCACCAUGUGGCAUGCGGAUUCUCUCCAGGACAGAGAUCCCGCAGGAUCCUGUGCCCUGCUGCCAUCCCGGCCCCGACACCACGGAAUCAGCCCUGCUCCUCCCAAUCUGGCCUAGAAGAGCAAACUGGUGUGUUUGCCCGCUUUGGUGUCUCCCCACCCAGCAUCCAGAGCAUCUCGGUUCCCCCACAGCCCUGCGCAUCCGUGUCCUGGUGGUCCUCACCGCUGCUGGGUGGGAAGCUGUGCAGGGGAGCCCGCGAAGCUGUGUUUGAGGUCCCAGGAUGAUGCCACCCCGAUCCUCAGCGUGGCACAACCCUUCCCACCACCAACCAGCACAAUCCUGCCCACCCUGAACCUCUCGGAGCCCUACACCGAGUGCCGAGUGGGGCAGUCACCAACACAGCCUUGCAGGACAGGCAGAAAAAAACCCACCCAGCUGGAGGAAAUAUUCCUAACAGAGGUGAUAUUCCCGCUUUGGGGAGAUGAUCAGCUCAAAGGCCUCGUUCCCCGGGAAGGUUGAUGGAGCUGGAAAGCAAAAAGGAGCCUCUUCGGAAUGCGGUUGCUGAUAGACUCGCAACACUGCUUCUCCCCCUCCUGCUUGCAAACCCCUCUGAUGUGGUCCUGGUCAAGAGCACAGAAUUGUUCUGUCCAGACCGUUCACUCCAACUGGAUUUUUUUGCCCACCAAGAUUGGAGCUGAAGAAGGGUCUGAAACACAAAUCUUAUGAGGAGCAGCUGAGGGCCCUGGGGCUGUUUAUCCUGGAGAAGAGGAGGCUGAGGGGAGACCUCAUCGCUCUCUGCAGCUCCUGGAAAGGAGGUUGUUGUGAGGUGGGUGCUGGGCUCCUCCCAGGUAACAAGGGACGGGAUGAGAGGAAAUGGCCUCAGGUUGCCCCAGGGGAGGUUUAGAUUGGAUAUUAGGAACAAUUCCUUUACUGACAGAGUGGUGAAGCCCUGGCAGAGGCUGCCCAGGGCAGUGGUGGAGUCUCCAUCACUGGAGGGGUUCAAAAACAACGUGGCCGUGGCACUUUUAGAUGUGGUUUAGUGGACACAGAGGGGUUGGGCUGACAGUGG